rnacentral:rRNA from 1 species
GACGAACGCUGGCGGCGUGCUUAACACAUGCAAGUCGAACGGAAAGGCCCUGCUUUUGGGGGGUGCUCGAGUGGCGAACGGGUGAGUAACACGUGAGUAACCUGCCAUUGACUUUGGGAUAACUGCAGGAAACUGGGGCUAAUACCGGAUAGGAGCGCCUGCUGCAUGGUGGGGGUUGGAAAGUUUGGGCGGUUGGGGAUGGACUCGGGGCUUAUCAGCUUGUGGGUGGGGGAGUGGCUUACCAAGGCUUUGACGGGUAGCCGGCCUGAGAGGGUGACCGGCCACAUUGGGACUGAGAUGCGGCCCAGCCUCCUACGGGAGGCAGCAGUGGGGAAUAUUGCAAAAUGGGCGGAACCCUGAUGCAGCAACGCCGCGUGCGGGAUGACGGCCUUCGGGUUGUAACCCGCUUUCGCCUGUGACGAAGUGUGAGUGACGGUAAUGGGUAAAGAAGCACCGGCUAACUACGUG